UACGGCCGUAUCACGUUGAAACACCGGUUCUCGUACGAUCACCGAAGUUAAGCAACAUCGAGCCUGGUCAGUACUUAUAUAAGUAACCGCUUGGGAAUACCAGGUGCUGUAAG